GAUGAACGCUGGCGGCGUGCCUAAUACAUGCAAGUCGAGCGAACGGACGAGAAGCUUGCUUCUCUGACGUUAGCGGCGGACGGGUGAGUAACACGUGGAUAACCUACCUAUAAGACUGGGAUAACUUCGGGAAACCGGAGCUAAUACCGGAUAAUAUUUUGAACCGCAUGGUUCAAUAGUGAAAGACGGUCUUGCUGUCACUUAUAGAUGGAUCCGCGCUGCAUUAGCUAGUUGGUAAGGUAACGGCUUACCAAGGCAACGAUGCAUAGCCGACCUGAGAGGGUGGUUGGCCACACUGGAAACGAAACCCCGUUCCGACCCCUGAGGGAAGGAGGAGUAGGGAAACCUACGGAAAGGGGGGAAGGCCUAACGAGGCAACGCGGGGGGGGUAAGGAAGUUCUUCGAAUCGUAAAACCCUGUUAUUGGGGAAAAACAAAUUGGAAGGUAACUGUGCCCAUCUGAAGGUAACCGAUUAAGAAGGCCACGCCAAACACGUG
rnacentral:rRNA from 1 species